CCUACGGGAGGCAGCAGUGAGGAAUAUUGGUCAAUGGGCGCGAGCCUGAACCAGCCAAGUCGCGUGAAGGAUGACUGCCCUACGGGUUGUAAACUUCUUUUAUAAAGGAAUAAAGUGAGGCACGUGUGCCUUUUUGUAUGUACUUUAUGAAUAAGGAUCGGCUAACUCCGUGACAGCAGCCGCGGUAAUACGGAGGAUGCGAGCGUUAUCCGGAUUUAUUGGGUUUAAAGGGUGCGUAGGGGGGUUGUUAAGUCAGAUGUGAAAUUGUAGGGCUCAACCCCGGACCUGCCUUUGAAACUGGCGCUCUUGAGUGCAAGAGAGGUAAGCGGAAUUCGUGGUGUAGCGGUGAAAUGCUUAGAGAUCACGAAGAACACCGAUGGCGAAGGCAGCUUGC
rnacentral:rRNA from 1 species